rnacentral:lncRNA from 1 species
GUCACUAAUUUCUAAACAGUUAUAAAUAUCUCCAAACGAUGCAACGAUAUGGAAACUCGAGUAAUUAGUUUGUGACAACCAAUGUCUUCACACGAUAUGAUGAGUAAAGUUCAGAAUCCUACAUUUUUGAAGAGUGUGAAAGAAAGUGUAUAAGUUUAUAACUAAUUAGGUUUGAUUUUGUUUCAGCUGGGGAAAUUACCAGAUAAAGACAUAAUAGAAAUGGUGUUUUUUCCUGUUGUGAAUGAGGCGUUUAGAGUAUAUGCAGGGGUAUUACAGUAAAAACAUCCGAUUUGGAUAUCGAUGGUGUUAUGGGAAUGGAAUUUCCACCUUACAGAUUCUUUUUCAUCUUUUGAUCAAAACUUUUUUUUUUAAUUUUAAUUUUAGUUUUGAAUAUCAACAUGUGUUUUGUACAGGGGAGUGAUUAUGUUAAGGGGAGAUUUGGUUGGAUCUAAGUACAUUCAUAGGAGGUUGAAUGAGUGGUGAAUGAUGUACGGGGUUCUUCAAGCCGUGCAACUAUUUGGCUCAGAGAGUUGCACAUGGGGCUCCUUUGGUGCUUGAUGUCAACCAGAUGAAUGGCCUUACAACUGAUCCACAAAUGCUUGAUGUCGCUUCAAAUAACGUCAGAAGGGAGGCAUCCACCAUCUCCCAUAAUGUCAGUGAAACAAGUUAUUUCUUCUCUUUAUUUAGUUGAUUAUUUUGAAUGGGUUAUUGUGCUUAAGGCUCUUAUAUGUACUUCAUGUUGUUUUGUUAUCAAAUUUGGUUCAGUAACCAACAAUCCAUAGCCUAUCUGUUUGUUUAAAUU